rnacentral:sRNA from 1 species
AGCAUUUUUUGGUCAGUAAUUCCCCACUUACUUGUUAACUUCAAAAGUCAAAUUUAUAAUCCAUUUAUAUUCAUAAUUUAUAAGUUGUUUUAACAUUUCCCGUAAAUAAUCUGAUGCCUUUCCACAAAUGAGGCGCUAAAUUCGGCUAAUUUGUGAAGCUAAGCAACCGCGCGACAUGCAAACAGCAUUUAAAACUUGUCUUGUAUGCCAUUAAAAAGAAGAAGAA